rnacentral:rRNA from 1 species
UGGCGGACGGGUGAGUAACGCGUGGGUAACCUGCCUCAUACAGGGGGAUAACAGUUAGAAAUGACUGCUAAUACCGCAUAAGACCACAGCACCGCAUGGUGCAGGGGUAAAAACUCCGGUGGUAUGAGAUGGACCCGCGUCUGAUUAGGUAGUUGGUGGGGUAACGGCCUACCAAGCCGACGAUCAGUAGCCGGACUGAGAGGUUGACCGGCCACAUUGGGACUGAGAUACGGCCCAG